rnacentral:rRNA from 1 species
UACGUAGGGUGCAAGCGUUGUCCGGAAUUAUUGGGCGUAAAGAGCUCGUAGGUGGCCUGUCGCGUCGGCUGUGAAAACUCGGGGCUCAACUCCGAGCUUGCAGUCGAUACGGGCAGGCUAGAGUUCGGCAGGGGAGACUGGAAUUCCGGGUGUAGCGGUGGAAUGCGUAGAGAUCCGGAAGAACACCAGUGGCGAAGGCGGCCCGCUGGGCAGUGGCUGACGCUGAGGCGCGACAGCGUGGGGAGCAAACAGG